AUUGAACGCUGGCGGCAGGCCUAACACAUGCAAGUCGAGCGGAUGAAGGGAGCUUGCUCCUGGAUUCAGCGGCGGACGGGUGAGUAAUGCCUAGGAAUCUGCCUGGUAGUGGGGGAUAACGUCCGGAAACGGGCGCUAAUACCGCAUACGUCCUGAGGGAGAAAGUGGGGGAUCUUCGGACCUCACGCUAUCAGAUGAGCCUAGGUCGGAUUAGCUAGUUGGUGGGGUAAAGGCCUACCAAGGCGACGAUCCGUAACUGGUCUGAGAGGAUGAUCAGUCACACUGGAACUGAGACACGGUCCAGACUCCUACGGGAGGCAGCAGUGGGGAAUAUUGGACAAUGGGCGAAAGCCUGAUCCAGCCAUGCCGCGUGUGUGAAGAAGGUCUUCGGAUUGUAAAGCACUUUAAGUUGGGAGGAAGGGCAGUAAGUUAAUACCUUGCUGUUUUGACGGUACCAACAGAAGAAGCACCGGCUAACUUCGUG
rnacentral:rRNA from 1 species